UUCUUAGUAAACCACUCCUCAAUCUCUGCCUCUGGAGUGAGUUUCCUCCCCUUGGCUAAUUCUGUGAAAUUCAAGCAAGGCCCCCCCCACCUUGUACAUGUGCAGGGUGCUCCCCUAUACAACCCCCCUGUACAGGUACCAUCCUAGGGUCUCUGCCUCCACUCAUUACAAAGCUUACAUUCCCAAGCACAUUAUAGCCUCACUCUUGGGAUGCCGCACGAGAUUUUACCUUUGAGGUUCUCGGAAUUCUCAAGAUACCUCCCCAGGUGGGACCCCCCUCCCAAGGGGUGUACUCCCACACCGAUCGUGAUCACCCAACCCAUACCUGUGGAUCCACCCUUGUGGGAGCACCCUCACUCCAUCACCCUGUGAAGGUUUUGUCCAAAGUCUCCCACAGAUCCUCUCAUGGAAUCAACAUGGAAAAAACUGUCACGAGAACAUGAGUUCUUUCUCCAGGCAUGAAAAUGAAAGAGCUACCUGGAUAUCAUCUGAGGACUAAAAGCACAGAACUUCCAGAUGAUUUCACGGCAGAAGACCGUACUGGGGUCCCCUGACCACAGUUUGUUCCACGUUUCUAAUGAGACAAAAAUAUUGUAUUCAUCUUUGAAUAAUGAUAUUUCCACCAGGUAAUCAGGUCACAUAGAAUAUUGCAAAUACCAAUCAGAUGUUCAACUCUUCCAGAGUUUCUAGAGGAAUCAGAAUUCCCUCACAGAUGCCAUCUACAUCCUGCCUACAGUGUGGCCAAAAGCCAUUUUGGAUUUCAAAGGUUUUCCCACCAAACUUCCACCUUCACAACAUGAUCACUACAUAAUGAGGUGGAAAAACCCAUUUUACCCAGUGCAUUCUAGAGAAUGAAGUGAAAAACCCCGCAGGUUUUUGGGGUGAAUCAGAAGAGAGAAUAAACUGAAAGCUGCCAUCUCAAAGUGAAAACCUCAGAUUUGCUGCCAUCAAAAACUCGGAGAAAGAUAAAAGGUGGAUUUGUCUUCAUGGCAUUUCACCUUCUUUAGCAACUGGUUCCUUUUCUGAGACAUUUGCACCUUUCUUGAAAACUUUGCCCUGCACUUACUUACCAUAAGUAAAUAGACUCAGUUAAAAUCAUGGAGAGAAAGUGGAGUAGAGCAGGGUAAGAGCCAAAAUGAAGGCUACAUUGGGAUUCCUUCCAAAGGGUGUCCAAAAGCUACUUACAUCUUUAUUGACUCUCCCAGAAAUUUUCUACUCUGGACUUCAAAUAUUUUGUUAUAGAAAUAACUUAUUCUAGAAAUCUAACAGGGCAGAACAAGCUAUCACUAAGUCUGUGAAUACCACUGCUGCAUAUGAGCUUUAUCUCACUUUUAUUCUUAGAUCACCACUGUUGUAGUAAUCCUAUUAGCAUCCUUUGCAAGCUGACAGCUCUGUCAGUGCCUAUGUACACAUUUUGGUAUUUCUCUGACCAAAAAUAUCUGAAAUCUCCUCAGACAUCAUUAUAAUCGAUGUUCAUUUUAGAGGACAGGAUGUUUUGUCAAUAACUUUGUGGUACAUUCUUGCCAGCGUUGAAAUCCAACUCUGCCAAGUAAAAUCUGUCAUUUAAAGGGCUACAUGAUGCUUCGCAGGAGGGGCUUGGCAAGGUUUGCCUUUUGUUCUACAGACAAAUUCCAAAGCUCCUGAAAUUUAUUAAGAUUCACAACUGAUACGCUGACCACUUAAAGGGGGCAUCAGAGAAGGUGCAAAGAUCAGAUUUAAAACCUAUUUAAAUAAAGUUCACUGAUGUUAGGUCAAGGAUUUGGAUUUUGCACAGUGUGUUCAGAAUAUAUUCAGAGUAGUUCUGCAAAUUCCAACUGACGAAACAGUAAGUGUCUAAAGAACGGUACUGAAAUAAGUCAAAAGCUGGAAGUAUACUAGCAUAUACCAAUGCUUUAUCAGUGACAUAGACGAUGGCAUUGAGUGCACCCUCAGCAAGUUUGCAGAUGACACCAAGCUGAGCGGUGCAGUCGAUACGUUGGAAAGAAGGGAAGCCAUCCAGAGGGACCUGGACAGGCUGGAGAAGUGGACCCAUGAAAACCAAAUGAGAUUCAAUAAGGCCAAGUGCAGGGUGCUGCACUUGGGUUGGGGCAAUCCCAAGUAUUUAUACAAACUGGGGGAAGAUCUCCUUGAGAGCAGCCCUGUGGAGAAGGACUUGGGGGUCCUGGGAGAUGAGAAGCUGGACAUGAGCCAGCAGUGUGCGCUUGCAGUCUGGAAGGCCAACUGUGUUCUGGGCUGCAUUAAAAAAGGGGUGGCCAGCAGGGAGAGGGAGGUGAUUGUCCCCCUCUACUCAGCUCGUGAGGCCCCAUCUGGAGUACUGCAUCCAGGCCUGGGGCCCCCAGUACAGGAAGGAUGUGGAGCUCUUGGAGCAGGUCCAGAGGAGGGCCAUUAAGAUGAUCAGAGGGCUGGAGCACCUCUCCUAUAAGGAAAGGUUGAGGGAACUGGGCUUAUUUAGUUUGGAGAAGAGAAGGCUCUGGGAAGACCUCACUGUGGCCUUCCAGUAUUUGAAAGGAGCAUAUAAACAGGAGCAAGAAUGGCUGUUUGCAAGGGUGGAUAGUGAUAGGACAAGGGGGAAUGGUUUUAAACUGAGACAGGGGAGGUUUAGGUUGGAUAUUAGGAAGAAGUUUUUCACCCAGAGGGUGGUGACACACUGGAACAGGUUGCCCAAGGAGCUUGUAGAUGCCCCAUCCCUGAAGGCAUUCAAGGCCGGGCUGGAUGUGGCUCUGGGCAGCCUGGUCUAGUGGUGGGUGACCCUGCACAUAGCAGGGAGGUUGAAACUCAAUGAUCAUUAUGGUCCUUUUCAACCCAGGCCAUUCUAUGAUAUAUAUGACAAAGGUAAAAUUGCUCUGUGAUGAUUUUGAAGACAGACACAGCAUCAACAAGCAGGACAACAGAUUAAGAAGGAGACAGAAUUGAAGAUAGACUUCCUUCACAUUUUAUUUUUUUCUCCCUCAUUUAUCAAGACAGGAUGUCCAGAUUUUAGAGAAAGGAGAGCAGCAAGUGGCUCUGCAGGGACAAAUGGGACAGACAGAUACCUCUGGCAACUGGCCCAAAGCAGAGGUUGGACCCCGUCUUUCUCCCUCCCAUCCAUUUCGUUUUGAAAGCUGCAAGAUUCUAGGGCUGCUUCCUGGUAGGCAGACAUACAGAAAAUGCUGUGUCUUCUAUGGAAAGGCAUCUGCUGCUAAAAUCAUGGACAAGACAAUAGUUCAGGGGCCCACAUUACAUCCAGACAUCACAGCCUCAAUAAGUGUCCUGAUGCUUCAGGAUGCAUACCUACUUCUUCAGGUUCAGAUUAUUCAGAUUGGAUAUUAGGAAAAACUUCUUCUCACAAAGAGUGGUAGUGCACUGGCGCAGGCUGCCCAGGGAGGUGAUGGAGUCACCAUCCCUGAGGUGUUCAAGAGCUGUGUAGAUGUGGCACUGAGGGAUAUGAUUAGUGGACAUGGUGGGGAUCGGUCACUGGUUGGACUGGGUGAUCUUAGAGGUUUUUUCUGACCUUGAUAAUUCUAUGAGUCUUCAUUUGGCACAUUUAACCCUGUACUCUUUUA
ensembl:lncRNA